ensembl:lncRNA
AUAUAUAUAUAUAUAUAGUUGUUCUUUUUUACACAAUUUCAAUGAUUAGGGGCUGAAGCUUUUAAAGCUUUAAGAAAGUCAAACUUAUACAAUUUUUUUUUAUUUUAAUACUUCGACUACAGUGUAACCAGAUCAGUGAGUUGAUCUCGAGAACCAAACAGGACUGAUUCAUGAAGAAUCGAUUGGGGAUGCGUUUUUCAAAAGCAUUUCAAGCGUAGUUGAAUGUUCCAUUGUUACCAACACCAUUUCCUGCUGUUACCAGUUAAACGUUGAAUGUUUUCAUGAAAAUACAGCUCCAAAAAAAAUUAUCAAACAGCUUCACAAAGCUGUUUGGUGGGAACUACUGCCUUUAACCUGUGAUUAGAAGUGAAGUUUUUUGUUAGUAUGAUGUGACAUACAAAUGAAAGUCUUCUAGUUUUUCAAGGAAAUUAAAAAAGUUGAUGUAAAAAGGAAUCAAAUAUCUGGAAAUUAACCCAAACAACAGAGGACAAAAGUAAAAGCAAAGUUGUCCUCAGUUCACAUGUUCAUUAUAUGAAGCAAUAAUCUUACAUAAUUAGCAGAAGUUAUUACUGCACCACCUGCAUGACGUCACUAACGACAAAGUUACUACGGUUUCAGUUAAUUUCACUAGUGAUGCACCAUACUGUGGUAGUUAGCCAGCAAAUUACAUUGGAAAUACACCCCAGACCACUCUGAAUUGAUUGAAAAACUAAUUCAUUCACAGUUAACGACCAAUAGGAUUUUGGCCGAUUCUCACAGUUAGUCGAUUAGCAGACUUGCAAUGUAGCACACAAGUUGUAUAGAUCACUUUUCCUACACUUUUAUGGUGGUUUGAAAGCUUGAAAGCAGCAGUCCCGUAAAUGCAUGGAAAAGAAAGACCAGCACAUUUUCAAAAGUUCUCCUUUUGUGUUCCACAAAAUAGUCAGUCAUACAAGUUUGGAACAACGUGACAAUGAGAAAUUUAGAGAAUUGUUUUGAGCUUCAAAAUAGUUUAUUAACAAAUUAACCUACACUAAAGAGAACAGAAAAAGAGAACAUUAUUCUCCCGUUUUUACUGUAAAACUAUAUAAUGUGAGUCACAGUGUUGUGCAUUAUGAUGUUUCACAGGCCAUUUUGGAAAUAUAUCCUUUUUUUGUACCUCCUACUCUAAUGGAUUUGGCUCUUGGGCUUGUGCUGAGGUUUUCCGUUCGAACAGGACAUCAUGGUGCUUGUUCUCCAACCUUUGUCUGUUGUCUCAAGCUUUUCCAAAGAUUAAUCAGGAUAACAUAGAUACAGUUUUACUAAGAAUUGCCUUUUUCAAAGGAAAACCACCCACCAGCAACCUCCUGUGCAAGCCCAGGCAUUACUGUACUCAAUACACCAAACAGGAAAAGACAGGAAUCUUUAUAGGCAAGUUUAGUACGGACAGCUGUCAUUCAAAUGAGGUAAAUACUUUGGCAAAACACGAUGGCAACUAAUAAUUAUGUAGUCUAGGGGCUUAAAUGUCGAUACAAAUGAGUCUAAGAUGUACUUAAUUGUUGUUUUUUUUAAGGUGGUUCAAUCACAUUUUGUGACCACUAUACAAGGAUGCUAAUAUUAGCAUGGACUGACAAUGCAGUAGUGUAAACAACUUGCAAAACUUCAACCUGCUGUUUUUACCUUCAUCUCAUGUUUUGUGAGGGUAAACAAUCCUCAUGCCUUCAUCUCAACUGUCCAUGUUUACAGAAAACUCCGGAAUGCAUUAAGCUGUAAGAACUAUGAACUGAUGCCACAGUUAUCAGUCAUGGCUGUUUAUAUCCCUCUUCUCUGUAGAGUAUGUAUCAUAAGUCUUCCGGUUGCUCUGACGCAGAUGAUUUCCUUAAACUGCAUUCAUUUGGACACUAUGAGGGCUUUUGUCCUACUUCAUAGAGACUUUCCUGCAUAAUAUUUAACUAAAAGCUUUUUUGCAAAAGUAGGCUACUACAGAGCAUUAGCAUUUGCAACAAGUUAUCAUGAGUACCUCAGUUCGUAAAAAUCCAGGCUUCUACAGAGACUUAUUGUUUAUUGUAAUACAUUCAGGGUCUACAGUGUCAAAGCCAUGGUCUUAAUACAGGAAAGUCUUUAGUAGUGAAUAAUAACCAGAAAGUAUUUAAACUACACCUGCAUUUAUCUUCCCUGAAAGGCCUACAACAGCUAUCCUGUAUAUUAAGUGGAUCAUUUGUAUGUGUAUAUGCUCUUGUAUUCUUGCUGAUGUUGUGGUAAAAAUCUGGACUCAAUCUUUCAGAACUUUAGAAACGAGUUAGGAAGUCAUCUUGUUCAUGAAUGUUUUAAUGUCCUGAGGGGACAAUAUACAUGUUUUAUUUUAUGUCUAAGUGUACUUAGUAAUGCAGCUAUUAGUGAUUACAUAUUUUAGGAUUAGCAUAAAUGACCACGAUUGAUUUUUAUAGGAACAUAAAAACAUUAGUUAACAUUCUUCAGCCUUGACAUUUGUACUAACACAGAGAGUGCAAAUGGCUGCUGCCGUUUACAAACACUUGAACUAUAAUGAUGGCUGAUUUUAUACCAUUUUACUAGUGAAUUUUGUUUAUUUAUUCCUGCUCAUUCCGAGAGUACCACCUCCCAUCUCCGUCAGUGAUCCAGCUCAGGUUAGGAAGGUGUAUUACAGUGUCAUUCACAGUUUAACUCGAUACAUAUUAAAACAUUUUCAUGUUGAAUCUACAGAAUGGAAUGUAAACUACAGAUAUACAUUUGAAGGUUGGCGUCAAUGUAAUAUCAGACUUGUAUUUAAAUGUAUUUCCCUCAUAUAGCAAUUAAAUUGGAAGCUCUGAAUGAAAUAAUGAAAUAUAAAAAUCAACUACCUGUCUGCAAUUACAGUAGGUGUCUGCUUGGAUUAUCUCUUGGAUUAGCUCAUCUCUGCUUUUGAAAUGUAAAUGAAAGGAAAUCUUCAAUCAAUCAGGUUGUGAAAUGCACUGAUUUUGUUCUUUUGUCUCCCCCCUUGUGUGUCCCAUGGACAUGAUUAUGGAGUUUCUGAAUGCUUCUUCCAUUCAUAAAGUAACACUUCAGCCAAAAAAUUAAAAAAUCUGUCACUAUUUACUCAGUCUUAUAUCGCUCCAAACUUGUAUGUUGUUAUUUUUGUCCAUGUAGCGUACUUCACAUUUGAACAGUUGUGCCGUGCUAAAAUUUUUUUACCUAAUUUGAUGUUCCAGACAUUUAAAAAUUGCUUAUAAAUCUCUUAUUUUAGCUAUAUUAUAGCUAUAUUAUCGCACCAUAAACAUCAUACAGUAGUUUAUAUAGCAUCUUAAUCAUCAUAGUCUUUAUGACUUGUGCACUAAGUUCCAGAUCUAUCCAUACUGUGAACUAGUGUUGUAUUGAGUAGAAAAGCGUAUACGUUUGAGAAUGAAAACAGAAUGAGUAAAUAAUGACUGCAUAUUAUUAUUUUUUAAGAACUGGAAUACAAACACAGCUGUCUGUCAUUGGAUAUUUAAGGAAGGAGUGUAACAUGGAUUGUAUUAAUGAAAUGUCCUAUUGAUUUAUUUUUUUUUCCUCUUCUCCUAAUUUGUGUUGUACAGCUUGUAUGAGCUUUAUGUGUGAUCUUUUACAACCGUUAAUGGAAAAGCAUGUCUUAAAGCUGUGAUUUAAUUUGUUUCGUUCAAACCUUGUUAGUGUAUCUACUCACUGUUGUGAUGCAUUCAAAAACUCUUUGAUGAUUAUGUUGCACUUUAUUGCCCUUUGGGUUUAGAUAUUAAAAGAAAUUGUAAAAGCAUCCUGUUUCUUAGAGCUGGCUUUCAACUCAUUUAAAAAGAAGUGUAACUUUUGAGAGAUUUAUUUAUUUAUUUAUUUAUUUAUUUAUUUUCAGUUUUCAAGAGCCUGGCAAAAUAAAAUAUAUUAUUAUUAGUGCUG